rnacentral:piRNA from 1 species
AUGCUGGAGAGAUGUGGAGAAAGAG